rnacentral:misc_RNA from 1 species
UCCGGUUUAACACCGGCAGUCUCAUUAGAGUACCCAACUUAAUGAUGGUAACUAACGACAAGGGUUGCGCUCGUUAUUGGACUUAACCAGACAUCUUACGACACGAGCUGACGACAGCCAUGCAGCACCUAUCUCCAGGUCUCCGAAAAGACGCAUACAUCUCUGCAUGCUUCCUGGGAUGUUAAGGGUAGGUAAGGUUCUGCGCGUUGCUUCGAAUUAAACCACAUACUCCACCGCUUGUGCGGGUCCCCGUCAAUUCCUUUGAGUUUUAGCCUUGCGACCGUACUCCCCAGGCGGGAUACUUAACGCGUUUGCUUUAGUACUCAGGGGGUUAAUUCCCCGAACACCUAGUAUCCAUCGUUUACGGCGUGGACUAC